GAUGAAGAACGUAGCGAAAUGCGAUAAGUAAUGUGAAUUGCAGAGUUCAGUGAAUCAUCGAAUCUUUGAACGCACAUUGCGCCCCCUGGUAUUCCGGGGGGCAUGCCUGUCCGAGCGUCAUUGCUGCCCUCAAGCACGGCUUGUGUGUUGGGCCGCCGUCCCCGGUUUCCCCCGGGGACGGGCCCGAAAGGCAGCGGCGGCACCGCGUCCGAUCCUCGAGCGUAUGGGGCUUUGUCACCCGCUCUGUAGGCCCGGCCGGCGCCAGCCGACACCCAACUUUAUUUUUAAGGUUGACCUCGGAUCAGGUAGGGAUACCCGCUGAACUUAAGCAUAUCAAUAAGCGGAGGA
rnacentral:misc_RNA from 1 species